rnacentral:rRNA from 1 species
AUUGAACGCUGGCGGCAGGCCUAACACCUGCAAGUCGAGCGGAUGAAGGGAGCUUGCUCCUGGAUUCAGCGGCGGACGGGUGAGUAAUGCCUAGGAAUCUGCCUGGUAGUGGGGGAUAACGUCCGGAAACGGGCGCUAAUACCGCAUACGUCCUGAGGGAGAAAGUGGGGGAUCUUCGGACCUCACGCUAUCAGAUGAGCCUAGGUCGGAUUAGCUAGUUGGUGGGGUAAAGGCCUACCAAGGCGACGAUCCGUAACUGGUCUGAGGGGAUGAUCAGUCACACUGGAACUGAGACACGGUCCAGACUCCUACGGGAGGCAGCAGUGGGGAAUAUUGGACAAUGGGCGAAAGCCUGAUCCAGCCAUGCCGCGUGUGUGAAGAAGGUCUUCGGAUUGUAAAGCACUUUAAGUUGGGAGGAAGGGCAGUAAGUUAAUACCUUGCUGUUUUGACGUUACCAACAGAAUAAGCACCGGCUAACUUCGUG